rnacentral:lncRNA from 1 species
CCCGGCCUGAACACGGAGAAUUGAAAACUGAGCUCAGCAUUAGUUGGCUGCUCCGUGUCCAAACCUCACAGGCGGAGAGACAGAGAGCCCUGGGGAGCACUUCUCUCAAAGAAACCCUGGGGCGCCUCUUGCAGCUGUUUCAGGGGCUGUUGGGCCAAACAAACUGGUGUGAGUCUGUCAGAACAACCUAUUGAAACAUCUGACUCCUGCCUCUUGCCCUUACAUGACCAUGUCCAAUAGGCCUGUCCCUCUGUCCCUCUGUCCCUCUGUCCUCCUGUCCCCCUGUCCCUCUGUCCCUCUGUCCCCCUGUCCCUCUGUCCCCCUGUCCCUCUGUCCCUCUGUCCUCCUGUCCCCCUGUCCCUCUGUCCCAAGGAGAUGAAGGAGCGUGGUCUGACAUGGGCAGCCAUCACCAAGAAGCCUGCAGAUGGAAAAGGUGGUGGAGUUAUCUUAUGGAUGCCUUGUGGGUUUCUAGAAACAGAGAGAGGAUUAGCUACGUAUGCCGGUCCCUUUCUGCUGCUUAAACAGGCAAAGAACAGAACAUACCUGCAAGCUGGAAAACCUUAGAUAUACCGCCGUAAAAAAAAACUAAUCAGUAGCUAUCAUCAUAUUUGACUUCGCCAAGCGGAAAUACCUUUACAGGUCAAGUGGCUGUUGUAUUUCCUGUUCUGAAAGGAAGAGUGGCUGCUUUAUUGCCUGUUCAAAAAGGAAGAGUGGCUGCUUUAUUGCCUGUUCUGAAAGGAAGAGUGGCUGUUGUAUUGCCUGUUCUGAAAGGAAGAGUGGCUGUUGUAUCGCCUGUUCUGAAAGGAAGAGUGGCUGUUGUAUUGCCUGUUCUGAAAGGAAGAGUGGCUGUUGUAUUGCCUGUUCUGAAAGGAAGAGUGGCUGUUGUAUUGCCUGUUUAAAGGAAGGGUGGCUGUUGUAUUGCCUGUUCUGAAAGGAAGAGUGGCUGUUGUAUUGCCUGUUCUGAAAGGAAGAGUGGCUGUUGUAUUGUCUGUUUAAAGGAAGAGUGGCUGUUGUAUUGCCUGUUCUGAAAGGAAGAGUGGCUGUUGUAUUGUCUGUUUAAAGGAAGAGUGGCUGCUUUAUUGCCUGUUCAAAAAGGAAGAGUGGCUGUUGUAUUGCCUGUUCUGAAAGGAAGAGUGGCUGUUGUAUUGCCUGUUCUGAAAGGAAGAGUGGCUGUUGUAUUGUCUGUUUAAAGGAAGAGUGGCUGCUUUAUUGCCUGUUCAAAAAGGAAGAGUGGCUGUUGUAUUGCCUGUUCUGAAAGGAAGAGUGGCUGUUGUAUUGCCUGUUCUGAAAGGAAG